rfam:Polynucleobacter necessarius isolate PPGSP2 genome assembly, chromosome: I
GGGGGCUUAUUACCUUCUAAGCCCAAUUGGCUGGGAAUCCAAGGGUUUAUACGCAAAACUGGUAUCAUUACUAGGUUCAAAACUUAAUAAAUUACCCUAGCGCUUAAAGACACUCACCUCCCGCACAAACAGUCCUGGGUUGGUCUUUUUGGGGUGUUGAGCGUCGGAUGGAGCAGGGACUGGAGAUGGUUUGUCACCC